CUACGGAGGGUGCAAGCGUUACUCGGAAUCACUGGGCGUAAAGCGCGCGCAGGCGGUCUUUUAAGUUGGAUGUGAAAGCCUACGGCUCAACCGUAGAACUGCAUCCAAAACUAUUAGACUAGAGUGUGGGAGAGGAAGAUGGAAUUAGUUGUGUAGGGGUAAAAUCCGUAGAGAUAAAUAGGAAUACCAAAAGCGAAGGCAAUCUUCUGGAACACUACUGACGCUGAGGCGCGAAAGCGUGGGGAGCAAACAGGAUUAGAAACCCCAGUAGUCC
rnacentral:rRNA from 1 species